rnacentral:rRNA from 1 species
UUUUUAUGUGGACCUCUGUCCUUGUAUACUCUGUGUACUUGGAUAGAACCACAUAAGCAGGUGAAACUUCUUAGAGGAACUGGCGUCCAAAAAGGCGCACGAGAAAGAGCAAUAACAGGUCUGUGAUGCCCUAAGAUGUCCGGGGCCGCACGCGUGCUACAAUGACGAUGCUACUGAGCAUGAUUAACUUGUCCGAAAGGAUUGGUGAAACUGUUCAAUCAUCGUCGUGACUGGGAUUGGGGUUUGCAAUUAUCCCCCAUGAACCAGGAAUUCCUAGUAAGCACAAGUCAUAAGCUUGUGCUGAUUACGUCCCUGCCCUUUGUACACACCGCCCGUCGCUACUACCGAUUGAAUGGUUUAGCAAGGACAUCGGAUUGAGUUCUUGCGGUUACGGCUGCUUGAAUUUGAGAAGAUGUCCGAACUUGAUCAUUUAGAGGAAGUAAAAGUCGUAACAAGGUUUCCGUAGGUGAACCUGCGGAAGGAUCAUUA